CGACGCCGCUUCUCCGCCCGGGGCAGCAGCCUCCGCGACAUGGCGGCACAGAACCCGCCUCCCCCCGCCUCUCAUUGGGGGAGGGACACGCCCGUCACCCGCCGCCCCCACCCGAUAGGGGGAGCCACUGGUCCCGCCAAGGGGGGAGGGGAAGCCUCCGCACGCCUUGCGUGCCUAUUGGGUACAGCGCAUGCCGUUCUUCAGAUGGGCCCGCCCUCGUUUGUCUGAGACACUCCUUAUAGGCGAGUGUUUUCUGCCAGUCAUCUGACUGACCCCGCCGCCUUAAAAUAAACUCCAAUUUGAUAGGUCGGAUUUCUGGCACCGCCUGGCCUCCCUUGGAGCACCUGAUAGGAACGACGCUCUCCCUCGCCGGAGAAGCCCCGCCUUCUUCCCACUUUUAUUGGCUCCCUCACUAAUCCAUCGAACCGAAAAUUGUUAGCGUUCCAGUCAAAACGACUCCUUUACCGCGCCACACCGCAAGGAGAAAAGGAAACCCCCUCCCUUUUGCCUCUCUCCAGUGGUUGCUGCAGAUGCCCAUCUUCUACGUCUCUACCCGAUUAGUCAAUGAAGAGUGGAAAGGGUCGUAGGACCACCGGUGGUCUCUGAUUGGGUGAAAAAGGAAAGCCCUCCCCAUGCCGGCAGGCGCUCUCUGGCUCAGUCUAGGAAGGGAUGGGAGGCGAGAGCGCAAGCGCGGACAGGCUUUCAGGCGUCCCCGGAGGCGGGGCGACCCUCUAAACCAGCGAAGGCCUGGCGUACCCCAAGUAGUUAUUGACAUUCUGUGUGUGGUGCCGGAGGGUAGACCGAGACAGAGGGGUAGCUGUCAGUGGCUCUGUCUCCGCCGCCAUCCCUUAUUCCUCUCCACCUCGAAUCCCCACAACGCCGGGGGAAUUUUAAUAACCCAAACUUAACCCUUUACGUAGAUUGGCCCUGCCGACGGUCUUCGGACCCUGUCAAGUUCGCCGGCGUCCUUUCCCUGCUCCGCUCCACCUCUAAAUUCAUCCAAAAGAGCACUCUUCAGUUUGCACAAAGGGAAGGGUACACACCAAGGAGUGGAAUUCCUGAAUCAUACUUGGCCCCGUUCUAGGCACUGGGAAUUCAGCUGUGACCAAGGGUCAACAAAAAUCCCAUCAACGGGAGGCUGACUUUUGACUUCGAUCCUCUCCCAGUGCGGGUGAUACGGUUCAGAGGCUGGGAGCACACAGGUGCUCAGGAGACGGAUGGCCUGGGUCCAAAUCCUGACUCCUCCCUUUCUGAGGUGUGUGGCCUUGGGCAAGGUCUCUUCACUCUGAGACUGGCCCUGUGGAUCAUGCAAUCUUGACUGUGUAAGGUUGUGUCAUUGUUGGUUUGCGAACUGGCCCCCCUGUACAUAGAGGACAAGGAGAGACCAAAGAAAGAGGCAGACCGCUGGUUUAAUAAGCAAGGAACACGCUCACAAGGCUUGUCUUGGGCACUGCAAGAUGAGGUACGUCUCCCCACCCACCCACCAGCAUCUUAAAGAUUAUAUAGAGCCAGAUGGUCUCAACAACACCUUACUCGGGCAAGGUUCUGUCCUUGAGACAGCUCCCACUGUGGGCAUGGCGGGCAGAAGGACAUUCCACAGUCAGGGGAGGGAGGGAGGCCUCUGAUUGCCUGAGUCCAGCUCGUGGGUCAGCCCGCGGUCAUGUCUUCUGGAUGACCUCCCCCAGUACUCCACCCCUCAUGGCCAGCUCUUACGAUUGGACAAACCCACCCCUCACAAUGCGCCCUGAGUGGCCAGCACGGAGUUCCACUAGCACGAGGUGGCUCGUUGGGAGGCUUUUUGGAGGAAGGUGGAUACAGGCAUGUGGAAGAGAAAACCCGGAUGAAGACGAUGAUUCCUAAAAUAACUAACAGUUUUUCCAUCAAGAGUUCCAUGCUUCUAACCACUGGUUUAUUAAGUCCCCUAGGCUGGGGGGGAGGGGCGCAUUGCUGAAAGUGUUCACUUGUGUCCCCAUAUGAUUUAAUAAAGACUGCCUUAGCUGCCUCAUCAGGCAGGAGCACAUGACCUUGUGUUUGAAUAAGGACACAUGCAUCUCCUUGCAAAGUAGCGAUAAUAUCCAAAGCCAUUCUAUUUUGGGGACCGCCCUCCUCAUCUGUUUUGUGUUGUAAAGACAGGCUUUGUUGCCUGUCAUUUAAGGCUUGCUGGGUGACCUGAAUAAGGGCUUUGGUAGACCCUAAUGACCCUCGGCCAACAGGGGAACAAAGCUAUAGCCAAACGAUGGGGCCCAUGGCAAGACUGUGCCCACUUGGCCUUGAGGAGAGGGAGGCUGGCAGUUUCAGGAACUUGACCUGGCUGAAUGGACCCUCCAUGCUGGCCAAUGGAGGUGGCACUGUCAGGUGGGAGGAGAUGGACUGGGGGCUGGGGGCUGGACAUGCCAGACCAGGACUCCCGCUUUCUCCCCUCUCUCAGUGAAUGGUGUGUGUUCCAUUCCAGGUAUGAUGGAUUUCGACAAGUCCAGCUCGCAGCAGGACAGCGGGACCCAGUGGAGAUGGAGUAGUUGCCCCUUGUUCAGGUGUACAAAGUAAUGCCCCCCCAUCCCAGUGGGAUGAGUCACCGCAGAUGCCAGUAGAUAAUUCCUGUCUCGGAUGUUCUAGCAAACUCUAGACAGAGUCCUGCCGCAGAGACGAGACUUCCUGUGCUACCAUUCUGUUAUCACAGGCCUAUUUUCCUGAUGUGGUGGAGGAUGGGGACAGAUCUCUGGCUAUCAUCCCAUGACCCCAUAUUUUGGAGCUGUGCAGGGAGCUGUGGGGAGGCACUGGAAAGGUCCAGUGUUGCCCCUCCCAUUAUGAAGGCAAACUGAGCAUACUUACCAGAAACCUGCACUGGCUGGGACGCCUGGGUGGCUCUCGCAGACAAACAUCUCAGCUCAAGUCUUGAUCUCAUGGUUGUGAGUUCAUGUUCUGUGUUCUGUGUGGAACCUACCUAAUAAAACAAACAAACAACAACAAAAAACCCUGUGCUUGGGCACCUGGGUGGCUCA